UACGAAGGGGGCUAGCGUUGCUCGGAAUUACUGGGCGUAAAGGGCGCGUAGGCGGACAGUUUAGUCAGAGGUGAAAGCCCAGGGCUCAACCUUGGAACUGCCUUUGAUACUGACUGUCUUGAGUUCGGGAGAGGUGAGUGGAAUGCCGAGUGUAGAGGUGAAAUUCGUAGAUAUUCGCAAGAACACCAGUGGCGAAGGCGGCUCACUGGCCCGGUACUGACGCUGAGGUGCGAAAGCGUGGGGGAGCAAACAGG
rnacentral:rRNA from 1 species